rfam:Salmo salar isolate Sally breed double haploid chromosome ssa11, whole genome shotgun sequence.
CUCAAUUGCUCCUGUAAGGUCGCUCUGGAUAAGAGCGUCUGCUAAAUGACUUGAA